rnacentral:lncRNA from 1 species
AGCGGCUGGUCUCCACUUAGACCUUUUUUCUACACUAGUAUUGAUGUAUUGGAGGCAUCCAUCGGCGGUGGCAGUAGGGCCGGGGCCAGCAGCCGGUAAUGUAGUGCUCAGGACUGACAGUUUACAGUCUGAAGAAGGUUCUCAGUUCAAAUCCCACCUUGCCUGUAGUACCCGCGAUCAAGCCAAGGUACUUGUCUUGAAUAGAUACAGUACGAGUAGCGUGCUGCAUAAAUGAGCAAAUCAUGACUGACCGUGUGUCGCCCUGGAGAUACUAGAUAGUUGCCAGCUACGAAAAGGUUAAUAACAAUGACGUAACACGCCCAGCUUCCCGACCGUAGCGCUCCUUCCCUCCCGGAGCUCGACGCUGGGCAGCUGAAAGGCUGCCGCUGACGUGGAGGCUCCGGACGGGCGCGAUGGCGGAGCCGAGCCGGAACGCCAGGCUCUCUGCGGCCAAGAAGAAGCUGAAGGAAUUUCAGCAGAAGCAUUACCCUGCAUCCGAGAGGGCUGGAGUUAAAAAGAAAAGAAAGGUGAUGGAAGAGAGCUCCUCGGACCUCCACUCUGAGGCAGAGCAGCCGCCUGAUAAUGUGAGUCCCUGCUUUCUGGUUUCUCUCCGCCCUCCUUGACUUUACUUAAGUUGUUUCCUGCAUUCUCUUUAACUGCUGACAUCACUCUCUACCCUUUUCCUCCUUCUUCUCAGUCUCGUGGUCCCCACUCAUCUUUAGCCCAAGGAGAUUCUGACGAUUUCGGUGUCAGACUUUAGUCUCGCUAACGGUGUAGCUCUGCCUCUAUUUCAGUCAAAUCUGGUGAGGGCACAUCUCCUGUGAUUUAUUGCUUACAUCUUUGCUUCUUUAAUUGUUUCUUUGCAUGGUAUUGCUGGUGGUCAUUGAGGGCCAUGAUGAAUUUUUCCUGUUAGGAUUUUUUUGGCUAAAUUUAAUGGAGGCAUCAAGUGAUUUCAUUAUUCUCUACAGGCAGCCCAGAAGGUCAUCAACGUGACCAUUGUUCUGCAAACCUAUCAGCAUGUUUGUGGGCAAACAUUUAUUUGAAUGCAAGCAAACCCUCUGUAUAAUGUGUGUUUACGCUUGUGUGACAGU